AACUCCCUCCCUCUGCAGAUGCUCCUGGGAUUGGGCCAAGAGGUUCAACUCCAGCACCAGAGGGAGUAGGAUGCCAGGAGAGGCCAGCUUUGCAAACUCCCAACCCCCCGGGUUCUCAGUGGCAGAAGACUGAGUGUACAGGGACCAAGGUGGCUUGUGGUUGAGCUGAGACCACUGCACUUGGAGCAUCUGUAGCUCCAGACCCCUUCGCUUUCCUGACUCUACGGAUGAGGUGAUUCACGCUUGCUUCCUAUUCUGUCUUCAUGGAGUCAAGGAUGCUCUUAGCACCCGUAUUAGUCUAUUCUGGCUCUGAGAAGAGCAUGCUGUAGACUGGGUGGCUUCUAAACAACAGACCUUGAUCUCUUGGCUGUGAAGGCUGACAAGUUCAAGAUCAAGAGAUUCAGUGUCUCACAAAGGCCAGCUUCCGAUGACUUCUUCUCAUUGUGUCCUCCCAUGCCCGAGGGACGGAGUCUUCGGGUCUCAUUCACAAGGGCACUAUCCCCAGGGUCUAGCCAGCUCCCAAAGGUCUGCUUCCUGAUCCUAUCACACCAUGGACCAGGAUUGCAACCUUUGAUUGGAGGGUGGGGCAUAAAUAUCCAGUCACUGACAACACCCUUCCAGAGCCCUUAGGAUUCAAAAUGAUAAGUGAAUUCUCCAUUCUGGAACUGACACCACCUUCUGGAAAGAAAUAUACAGAAAGAGAAAGUAUACUAGUGUCAAGAAGAGAACGUCCCUGCUUUCCCAAAGAUAUACAAGUGGCCAUCUCAGCGGCUCUAGAUUCUAGAUCAUAGCACAGUGGAUAUGUUUGCUUAUAAAGAUAUUUUGAUCUUUUAGUUUAUGACUCAAAUGGAUUGCCAGAGUGGGGAUGAGGAGACCAAAAACAUAUCUAAGGCUCUUAGAACAUCUUUUCAAAUUGCCUUCCAAAUGGGUCAGAUUAAUUUUCAUCUUAUUCGGGAUCGGUACUGGCUGGUUUUGUGUGUCAACUUGACACAAGCUGGAGUUAUCACAGAGAAAGGAGCCUCCCCUGAGGA
rnacentral:lncRNA from 1 species